rfam:Oryza glumipatula chromosome 9, whole genome shotgun sequence.
AAAAAGGGCAAACUCUGGAUUUCUGUAUCCAACUUUGACUGUUCGUCUUAUAUAAAUUUUUUUUAUAAUUCGUAUUUUCAUUGUUGUUAGAUAAAACAUGAUUAAUAUUUUAUGCGUGACUUGUCUUUUUAAUUUUUUUUCUAAUUUUUUCAAAUAAGACGGACGGUUAAACGUUGGACAUGGAAACCAGGGUUUGUCUUUUU